rnacentral:rRNA from 1 species
AUUGAACGCUGGCGGCAGGCCUAACACAUGCAAGUCGAGCGAGCGGCGGACGGGUGAGUAAUGUCUGGGAAACCGCCUGAUGGAGGGGGAUAACUACUGGAAACGGUAGCUAAUACCGCAUACCAUCAGAUGUGCCCAGAUGGGAUUAGCUAGUAGGUGGGGUAACGGCUCACCUAGGCGACGAUCCCUAGCUGGUUUGAGAGGAUGACCAGCCCAACUGGAACGGAGAAACGGUCCAGAAUCCGACGGGAGGCAGCAGUGGGGAAGAUUGGACAAGGGGCGAAAGCCUGAUGCAGCCAUGCCGCGUGUGUGAAGAAGGCCUUCGGGUUGUAAAGCACGUUCAGCGGGGAGGCGUUACCCGCAGAAGAAGCACCGGCUAACUCCGUGCCAGCAGCCGCGGUAAUAC